rnacentral:misc_RNA from 1 species
GACGAAGGUGGCUAGCGUUGUUCGGAAUCACUGGGCUUAAAGAGCACGUAGGCGGCCCGUCAAGCGUCUUGUGAAACCCCUCGGCUCAACCGAGGAAUGGCAGGGCGAACUGGCGGGCUUGAGACAGGCAGGGGUGUGUGGAACUCUUGGUGGAGCGGUGAAAUGCGUAGAUAUCAAGAGGAACGCCGGUGGCGAAAGCGACACACUGGGCCUGAGCUGACGCUGAGGUGCGAAAGCUAGGGUAGCGAACGGG